rnacentral:rRNA from 1 species
UACGUAGGGGGCGAGCGUUGUCCGGAGUUACUGGGCGUAAAGCGCACGCAGGCGGUCUGUUAAGUUUGGAGUGACAGUUGGUGGCUCAACCACCAAAGUGCUUUGAAAACUGAUAGACUUGAGGGCUUCAGAGGGACACGGAAUUCCGGGUGGAGUGGUGAAAUGCGUAGAGAUCAGCAGGAACACCCGUGGCGAAGGCGGCCCCCUGGGCCGUACCUGACGCUGAGGCGCGAAGGCUAGGGGAGCGAACGGG